UACGUAGGAUGCAAGCGUUGUUCGGAAUUACUGGGCGUAAAGCGUAUGUAGGCGGUUGUAUAAGUCUUUUAUUAAAGACCGAAGCUUAACUUCGGGAGUGUAAAGGAAACUGUAUAACUAGAGGUCAGAAGGGGAAAUCGGAAUUCUUAGUGUAGCGGUGAAAUGCGUAGAUAUUAGGAAGAACACCGGUGGCGAAAGCGGAUUUCUGGUCUGAAACUGACGCUGAGAUACGAAGGUGUGGGGAGCAAACAGG
rnacentral:rRNA from 1 species